CCUAAGGAUCUUCUUAGAUCCACAAUUCACUCAUUCAACUCCUAU
rfam:Picea glauca, whole genome shotgun sequence.